rnacentral:rRNA from 1 species
UUAAAUUGAAGAGUUUGAUCAUGGCUCAGGUUGAACGCUGGCGGCAGGCCUAACACAUGCAAGUCGAACGGUAACAGGAAA